UUUUCUUUCCUUUCUCCUAUCUCCCGAACUCUCUAGACUCUCUUUUUCCUCCCCUUAUCUCUCUCUCUCUCUCUCUCUCUCUCUUACACACACACACACACACACACACACCUCCCUCGUUCUCUCUCUUGAUCGCCUUCAAUUCCUCAGUCUCUUUCUUCUGCUCUCUUAUUUCUUUCAACUCUAUCUUCUCUCUUAUUCCUUAGAUCUCUCUCUCUCUCUCUCUCUCUCUCUCUCUCUCUCUCUCUCACACACACACACACACACACACACACGCACAGCCCUCAUCUCUCCUCUCUCUCUCUUUUACCUAUUUUAUAUAUUUCUUUGAUUUGCUCUUUCUCUUUUAUCUCAGUUCUCAACCCUCUUUGAUAUCUAUAUCUCUCUUUCUCUCAGCUCUCAGCCUUUUUUGAUGUCUAUGUCUCUCUUUCUCUCAACUCUCAGCCUUUUUGGAUGUCUCUGUCUCUCUUUCUCUUAGCUCUCAGCCCUCUCUCACCAUCGCAAGCCCUUAGGUCUAGCAAACCUCGCAAAGGGUAGAGAGCUUCUAGCUCUUUGCUAGAUCCUUGAGCCUAAACCACUAAAGAUUGACGAUUCCAAGGAUUGUUUGGAUCGUUGGCUAAGCAAGGGGAUAUUGCGUAGAGAGGCGGGCUCUAGCUUAUUUGAAGGAAUAACCGAACGAGGGUACAUCUUUUGAAGAGGCGGGCUCUAGCCUACUGAAGGAGUGUGUAAACGGUAUUGUUCUGCCUAGUAAAGGAACUCAAUUUAGUAAUCCUUCAGUGGUUUGUCAGAGGCGAGGACGUAGGCUGGGUAUAAGCCGAACCUCGUAAAAAUUCCGGUCUUACUCUCUCUUUCCUUACUCUCUUUAUUUUCAGUACAUAUACAAUUGCGUGGAUGUUUUAAAUAUAAAAAUCAUACAAACUACUUAAUUUUGAAGUUAAAUAAACUUAAGGUUUAAUUUUGA